GUCUCAGGCCGUAGUCAGCCUGAAGGCGGCCCGAUCUCGUCUGAUCUCGGAAGCUAAGCAGGGUCGGGCCGUGGUUAGGAUCUUGGAUGGGAGACCACCUGGGAAUCCCGGGUGCUCGAGGCU
rnacentral:rRNA from 1 species